rnacentral:misc_RNA from 1 species
AACGCACGAGACCUGCGGACCUGCGGAGGGAUCAUUACCGAGUUAGGGUAGUCACUCACUGCCCGACCUCCCAACCCUGUGUCCACCACACUUUGUCGUUGCUUCGGCGGACCGGUUGACCAACUGGUCGUGACCGCCGGGGGCUGGCUCUGUCCCCCCUGGAGAGCGUCCGUCGAUGGCCCAACCACAAAACUCUUGUACCGAAACGUGUCGUCUGAAUUAUAUUUGAGAAAUCAAAAA